CAGUCGCCGCGGGAAUACAGAGGGUGCGAGCGUUAAUCGGAUUUACUGGGCGUAAAGCGUGCGUAGGCGGCUUCUUAAGUCGGAUGUGAAAUCCCUGAGCUUAACUUAGGAAUUGCAUUCGAUACUGGGAAGCUAGAGUAUGGGAGAGGAUGGUAGAAUUCCAGGUGUAGCGGUGAAAUGCGUAGAGAUCUGGAGGAAUACCGAUGGCGAAGGCAGCCAUCUGGCCUAAUACUGACGCUGAGGUACGAAAGCAUGGGGAGCAAACAGGAUUAGAUACCCCUGUAGUCCCUGUUUCUUAUAC
rnacentral:rRNA from 1 species